rnacentral:rRNA from 1 species
GUGAGUAAUACAUCGGAACGUGUCCUCUUGUGGGGGAUAACCAGUCGAAAGAUUGGCUAAUACCGCAUGAGAUCGAAAGAUGAAAGCGGGGGACCCGAGGGCAACUUCGGGCCUCGCGCGAGAGGAGCGGCCGAUGUCGGAUUAGCUAGUUGGUGGGGUAAAAGCCUACCAAGGCGACGAUCCGUAGCUGGUCUGAGAGGACGACCAGCCACACUGGGACUGAGACACGGCCCAGACUCC